CAAGCCCUGGAAACGGGGUCUAAUACCGGAUGGGACUGCCGGCCGCAUGGUCUGGUGGUGGAAAGCGUUUAGUGGUGCAGGAUGAGCCCGCGGCCUAUCAGCUUGUUGGUGGGGUGAGUGCCUACCAAGGCGACGACGGGUAGCCGGCCUGAGAGGGCGACCGGCCACACUGGGACUGAGACACGGCCCAGACUCCUACGGGAGGCAGCAGUGGGGAAUAUUGCACAAUGGGCGGAAGCCUGAUGCAGCGACGCCGCGUGAGGGAUGACGGCCUUCGGGUUGUAAACCUCUUUCAGCAGGGAAGAAGCCGCAAGUGACGGUACCUGCAGAAGAAGCACCGGCUAACUACGUGCCAGCAGCCGCGGUAAUACGUAGGGUGCGAGCGUUGUCCGGAAUUAUUGGGCGUAAAGAGCUCGUAGGCGGCGUGUCACGUCGGAUGUGAAAGCCCGGGGCUUAACUCCGGGUUUGCAUUCGAUACGGGCAGGCUAGAGUUCGGUAGGGGAGAUCGGAAUUCCUGGU
rnacentral:rRNA from 1 species